CCAAUCGCUGCUCAGUGCUGUCUGAGUUCAGCGCUCUCCUUUUAAAUCCCCCUCUCUGUGGUGAAUCAGCACUCGCAGCGCAGCCCUCCGGUGGUACAGCAAGUGGUAGAGAAGUCUACUGAAACAGCCUACACAUUUUCCGGCUGUGAGUGGGGCCUUCAUGGAUUCCCCGUACAAUGGCAACACGUCCCUCCAGACCUCCACCUCCAACCUCAACGUCAACUUCUCCCGGCCGACCGAGGUGGAAGAGGAGGGCAAGUACUCCAGCGACGCCAUCUGGCUUUGGGUAGCCGUCAUUGCAACCAUCGGCAACAUAGUAGUGGUAGCAGUGGUUUGCGCCUGUGCCUUCUAAGACCCGUUAGUUACAAGCACACAGCCGAACAUCCCUCUUGCCCCAUCUUUCCUCCACUUUAACCUAUCCCUAUAUUAAUUUUACUCUUGUAAGUGUCCACCCAUAAUAUUAAAGCCAAGGCCCUGUUCUGAGGGUCAAUGGAAUAUGAUAGUGAAAAUAUAGGGACUGGCUUAACUGAUGUUUUCCAGGACUAGGAAUGAGAGAAACAAUCCUCCGUAGUUACCAUACUGUAUCUUAACUUAAGCCUAUGUCUCACACUGUUUUUUUUUUUAAUGAGAAAUGGUGAAGUGAGCUGAUGUGGGCUGUGCCUUUUUAUAAUGAACAUGGUAAAUUAUUUAAGGAAGUGUGCAAUAUAUAAAGCAGUUGAGUGAGCCUCCCUUCUGCUUUCCAAUUGAAGGGUUCACCAGAGGUCAGCCUAAAGGAUUAGGGAAGUGUACAGCUGUGAGAUCCCCUCUGCCUAUGAACCUGAACAGAACACCACAUCAUAUAUCUUUGUCUGGUUGAUGUCAUGUGACUGUUUGUCUGGAAUGGAUGUGUUGAUGCUGCUGUCUUGGUCCAGUUCCCUCUUGAAAAAUAGAUUUUUAUCUCAACAAGACUAACCUGGUUAAAUAAGGGUGAAAUAAAUAAUCAGCAUCUCUCGUUGUGGCUGGCCAUCGUCUCGGAGACCAGUGGAGAGAUAUGUGACAGAUGGUGGCUGGUAGUGGGGCAGAGGGGACAGCGGAGGGGCCCAGGGCAGGCUUGGCAGGGCCCCCAGUACCUGGUGUUAUUUCCUGUGACUGCUGCACCCCUGCACUACCAUUCACCAUUACUGCUCUGUCCUGUCCUCAUCAGCCUGUCAGUGAUAGAAAUCUCCCCAAGCACUUUAUAAAACGCAAUAAAGUGGGGAGUUUUCUUUCAUUUUAACUGCAUUGUUCUGCAGUGGCUGUAGACCUGUGCCAGUUUAACUAUGCAGUAAAGGCAUCCUAUUGGGCACACACUGGUUGAAUCAAUGUUGUUUCCACGUCAUUUCAAUGAAACGACGUUGAGCCAACAUGGAAUAGAUGUCGAAUUGCCGUCUGUGCCGUCAGUGGGAUAGCAGUGGCUAAUGUUUAUGAGUGAGACAAAUGUGUAGAAACACAGUAUCACCCACAAGCCAAAUGAGUGAAUGAAGUUGUCAGCACAAAUCAGAUGUUAUACCACCCCUGCUGACAUUCUGAAAUUACGGAACCACCAAUUACAUCACACUAAAUCAUUGAGCCGCCCACCAUUACCAGACCACUGCUACAACAACCUCAAGCUGUUGAGCUAGCAAUCAAAUGAUUUCUCUCGUCAUAAGAAACCCCAUUGCUGUUAACGUUAGUUUUUUAGUUGCUGUGCCAGGCAGGCAGAAUCUCACAUUCUCCUCAGAAUGUCUCUCAGUAGACUAGUGUGUGUGUGUAGGUGGCAGCAGCCCCAGUAGUUCCGUGCUGUGCUGUCUCCCAUGCACCCAGUGGAGCCGGGCCACAGACUUGUCAAACGGCAGGGCUUUAAUGAGAUGUAAUGCCUCUCUCUCUCUUUCCUAAAGCGAACACUGACCUCCCGUUGCGCUGUGGUGAUCAGAACAGAGCUGAUCCCUGCUGCACUCAGCUGCUCUGAACAAAGAUAGUGCUUCAAGUGCAUUUUUAGAGUGUGACUUCCUCAUUUAAUCAGCACUAGUUGAUAGAGAGAAGGGGGAAGGAGAGAGGAGUAGACGAGAGGAGUGACUGCAUGGGAAUUGAUUUAUAACAGCCAACUUCCAUGUCAUCUCUUUGAAAUACAAAACUUUUUUUGAAGUUGAAUGGAAAAUUCCAUUAUUUUUAUUGAAACCAACGAAGUGGAAUAAAAAGUUUGAAAAUGGAGAGAUUUAGGAUCAAAGGUCUGUCUGAGCCAUCACUUCACACAGCUAAUUGCCCUGAUCUCACUGUACAGUAGAGUUAAUGAAAACAAGAGACCGAUUCAUCAUGGCAUCUCUGAGCGGUCCUUUUCAGGGUCCUUAGAGAGUUUAGCCAGAAACCUGCGGGAACAUUAAUCCGUUGUCUGUUACAAUAAACAACAACAAUCGCACUGAAUGGGGUCUUCAUAAGUAUCUGCUGGCAAUACCUCAAUAUGAUGCUAACAAGUUAGUAUUAUACAUCCCCACUAUAUGUAGUUGCUUUAAUACUGUAACUAUUCUGAAGCAAAAUUCAUAUGAACUAGGUGAGGAAUCCCAGGUAGCUAUAAUAGGAAUUUCUUCUACCCUUGUAUCGGCUGUGUGCUUUGACAUGGGACUGGUUAAGGCUCAGGUGCCCACUGUCUACGGCUCAAAUUAUGUGCCUGAACUGACUAACACAACUCCUACCCGUCAACUUCUUAUUGACCAUGGACGCCCCUUGACCACCAUGGAUGAUGGUCCUCCUAAACACCACAAAACGUCAUCACAGCCUCAAGUCCAGGCCCAGAGGGGACUGAAGUCUGCUUAAUCACACCCCAUAGAGCAUUCCAUCCUCCGUCUCCUUUCCCCUCUGUUCUCUCUCCUUCCAUCCAUGCAGAGCACUAGACCGUGCUUUCUGCAUUGGCACUGGCCUCUGACCCGAGGCAGGGCACCUCAUGCCCACAUGCCUAUUCCUUCCCAGGCAACAAGAAAUAGUCCGGUCAUUGCUGGGGAAAUGGACAAGUCACUCCUACGAGAGGAGAAUUGUAGGAGCAAGGAGCAGCUGGGUAUAUAAGCGAACACACACACACACACACACACAAUGUAAAUGUACCUUUCUAUAACAUGGUUGUAAUGACAAUGCUAUGAUGUCGUUAUGUGCUCUCAGGGUUUGUAUUUUUUUCCCUCAUCUUUCAAUACAUUGUAAAUGUUUCAUACCAUUUUCUCAUCAUAGUUAUAAUUAGCAAAUGAUAACAUUUAUAGGGGCCAUUUAAAGUUGAGCUAGAUUAGGUAAGCUUCAAUUUUGGAUUCUGUUCAGUCUAUCGCUUCAUCAAUUCAGUCUGUAUCGCUGAAGCAUUACAGAUUGUGUGAUAGAAAUGUAAAGGUAAUUGAGCUGACAUAAUGCAGAGUUUACCAAGAAUGCGGUCUCCACUAACGCGGGAACAUUGCCUUUACAUGUCAAUCCCGAUGUAACGCUGCACUUCUGCAAUAAAGAUUCAAUAUAGGCCUGAAGCUAAUAUUCGAUCCAAUUAUACUAGUUAUAAUUUAGCUUGAAUGAAUAAGCACUGUAUUGCUGAAUGUCAUACUGUAGUUAUUCACACACACUCAAACAUGCUUACCGCUGUAGGUAUAGCCCAAGACUAUGUUGCGUGAAUAUGCUCCCCCAAACUAACUUGGGAGCUCUAUAAUUCAUAAGAAUCCAUAACAAUUUGUAAAUAUUUAAACGGUUUUGAAUCCAACAUUACACAUAUCAUGAUAUACACAUGUAUAAAUUGACCAAUAACCUAGCGGGGUAAUGAAAAUAUAGUCAGACUUCAAGUGGGUGUUUCUAUAUGUUGUUGCCAUGGGAACACCCUCCAUAGAUCACCUUACUUUUGUGGUGUUUUCUGGCUCUGGGUCCUCGUCAGACGCUAAGCAUCCCAGCUCUCUUCCUCUGCAGAGUGUUGCAUUACCCAACGAGGCUUCGCUGCAUGUUUGUUAAGUCGGAGAUAUGAGAAUGCUUCUUGACUUUAAUGCUGCCGGACAUCAUAUCCCUUCCCUGCUGAUUCACAGCGGCUCCCCUAACCCAAUGGCUUGUUUGUGUUUGUCUCUGCAGACUCCCAGGAAUUUUCCAUCCUUCCUCGGGCCUCCAGGAAUAUAUAUGCUAAUUAAAGCUGACUUCCUAUAUCUUGAGUACAGCAGAAACAGUAUGGUUGACUAGGGACUGUGACUUUAUAAAAGCACCCAGAGGAAACCCAUAAAGACUACAUGGAGGCUGGGAGGAAUAUUGUGGAUAGGUGGGACUUGAGAGGUGACAGUAACAGACAUCAUAUUUAUGACUUCAACAAAUAAUACCAUAUCUUAUUCAAGGUUACUUGUAGUUAACUUUAUUUGGAAUGUGCUGUGACUCAUGACACUCAAAGGACCUAGAAAGUAUGUCUUGUAUGUCUUGUUUUGAAAUUGAUUUUCUGACAGCGAUUCACAUAUUCAUUGCAAUGAAUGAAUGGAUAUUUAUCGACUUCGUUGACUCUGAAGCCUUGGAUUCUACAUUUCUGUGCAUCCAGUUGCAGUGUUGUAAGUUCUGAAAGCUCCCUGUAGGUGUCAGGGUUACCGCUAUGAAAUACUGAUUAACAGAAAGGCUGUUGGCUAAAUACAGGAGCUGUAUUAGUUCAAUUAAUUCACAAUGUUCAUUCACAAAAGCAUUCUAUAACAAUUUACUUCCUACAAAAUACUGCACAGAGUCAUGUCACUGCAAUUGUUUUAAAUUACAUUUCUAGAGGGGGAGGGGAACACUUACUGUCUUGACUUUCCAUAAAUGUAUGACCUACUUUGAAAAGAUAUCUUGUAAAAAAAAAGAGAAGGAAAUCUAACAUUUGGGGGUUUUCUUUUCAUUUCAGUAUGUGUAAAAGCAUGAUUGCAAUGUACAGUAUAAACACUAUGGGGGUUAUUCAUUUUUAUUUUUAACAUGAUAUUUCAGGCUCAUUAUUAUUUUGUUCCCAUGCUAGAUUAACCAAAACAUGCGCACACACGCGUUGUGAAACGUGGCUUGCAUUACAUGAGCCAGGAUUCAAUAUGUGUACCUUUAUAAGGAUAAUGGAUGUGUACACGUCAGUAAAUUAGGCCAGCUCUGUUGUUCAUAUGCUCCUCAAUACCAGUAGUCCCAACAUCCAAGCCAUGUGUACAUGCUCAUCGCAAAGACAUCUUAAUAUGGAAAACACUUAAAUGCAGCUGGUGCGAGACCACAUGACAGUUCAACCAUGAUCAUUUUCUUGUGUUUUCAAUUUCUUUUGUGAUAUUUUGAUUUAGUAUGAGCUUACUUAGCGUGUUUGCAUGUAUUGUGUUACUUCCGUCCCAAAAUGUUGUUCGUCGACAUCUCUGCAAGCUGCGUUCCAGUAAGGGAUAAAUAAUGUAAUAAUCAUGAUCUUAUGGAAUAUUGAUUGGAUGAUUCAUUACUUUGUACAUGUAGAACUAAUGUGGAAUAUUUUUUGUAAACUUUUUAUUGAUCAUGUACAUUUUUCCAAUGUUUUAGCAAUUGUCAGUGCAGAAAAAUUGCUGCUAUAGUCAUGAUGUGUUUUUUUUACACACUCUUGCAAGUGAACAGAAAAGCUUAGAAGUAAACAUGUUUUUACCUGCAUAAUAAAAAAAUCUAUAUUGUGUGUUAACCUCAUGAUUUACCAUCCUGUUUAAUUCAAUUAAAUUGAUAAGAAUGUGAAAAUGA